ACCAAGUUGGCUCAGUCAGUAGAGCAUGAGACUCUUAAUCUCAGGGUCAGGGGUUCAAGCCCCACACUGGACA
rnacentral:tRNA from 1 species